rnacentral:rRNA from 1 species
GAUGAACGCUGGCGGCGUGCCUAAUACAUGCAAGUCGAGCGAACGGACGAGAAGCUUGCUUUUCUGAUGUUAGCGGCGGACGGGUGAGUAACACGUGGAUAACCUACCUAUAAGACUGGGAUAACUUCGGGAAACCGGAGCUAAUACCGGAUAAUAUUUUGAACCGCAUGGUUCAAAAGUGAAAGACGGUCUUGCUGUCACUUAUAGAUGGAUCCGCGCUGCAUUAGCUAGUUGGUAAGGUAACGGCUUACCAAGGCAACGAUGCAUAGCCGACCUGAGAGGGUGAUCGGCCAAACUGGAACUGAGACACGGUCCAGACUCCUACGGGAGGCAGCAGUAGGGAAUCUUCAGCAAUGGGCGAAAGCCUGACGGAGCAACGCCGCGUGAGUGAUGAAGGUCUUCGGAUCGUAAAACUCUGUUAUUAGGGAAGAACAGAUGUGGAAGUAACUGUGCACAUCUUGACGGUACCUAAUCAGAAAGCCACGGCUAACUACGUG